GCCGGCGGCCAUACCACCCUGGUCACACCCUCUCUCUGGUCUCAGGGCCUAAGCAGCGUCAGCCUGGCUAGCACUUGGAUGGGAGACCGCCUGGGAACAUCAGGUGCUGUGACU
rnacentral:rRNA from 1 species